AUUGAACGCUGGCGGCAGGCUUAUCACAUGCAAGUCGAGCGGGGUGAUGGUGCUUGCACUAUCACUUAGCGGCGGACGGGUGAGUAAUGCUUAGGAAUCUGCCUAUUAGUGGGGGACAACAUCUCGAAAGGGAUGCUAAUACCGCAUACGUCCCACGGGAGAAAGCAGGGGAUCACUUGUGACCUUGCGCUAAUAGAUGAGCCUAAGUCGGAUUAGCUAGGUGGUGGGGUAAAGCCCUACCAAGGCGACGAUCUGUAGCGGGUCUGAGAGGAUGAUCCGCCACACUGGGACUGAGACACGGCCCAGACUCCUACGGGAGGCAGCAGUGGGGAAUAUUGGACAUGGGGGGAACCCUGAUCCAGCCAUGCCGCGUGUGUGAAGAAGGCCUUAUGGUUGUAAAGCACUUUAAGCGAGGAGGAGGCUCUUUUGGUUAAUACCCAAGAUGAGUGGACGUUACUCGCAGAAUAAGCACCGGCUAACUCUGUGCCAGCCGCCGCCGUAA
rnacentral:rRNA from 1 species